AGAUAAAAAGGAAGAACUUCUAA
rnacentral:snRNA from 1 species